USAGACWYAAUAUGGGGGCGSGMACUUGACGUUACUAACGACGUCAUGCUACUWCGUGCAGCAUGCGCGGUWAUACGUAGGUGCAAGSGUGUCGGAGUWUGGGGCGUAAGGGCUCGCAGGCGUUUCUAAGUCUGAUKUGAAAGCCCCCGGCUCAACCGGGAGGGUCAUUGGAAACUGGGGAACUUGAGUGCAGAAGAGGAGAGUGRAAUUCCACGUGUAGCGGUGAAAUGCGUAGAGAUGUGGAGGAACACCAGUGGCGAAGGCGACUCUCUGGUCUGUAACUGACGCUGAGGAGCGAAAGCGUGGGGAGCGAACAGGAUUAGAUACCCUGGUAGUCCACGCCGUAAACGAUGAGUGCUAAGUGUUAGGGGGUUUCCGCCCCUUAGUGCUGCAGCUAACGCAUUAAGCACUCCGCCUGGGGAGUACGGUCGCAAGACUGAAACUCAAAGGAAUUGACGGGGGCCCGCACAAGCGGUGGAGCAUGUGGUUUAAUUCGAAGCAACGCGAAGAACCUUACCAGGUCUUGACAUCCUCUGACAAUCCUAGAGAUAGGACGUCCCCUUCGGGGGCAGAGUGACAGGUGGUGCAUGGUUGUCGUCAGCUCGUGUCGUGAGAUGUUGGGUUAAGUCCCGCAACGAGCGCAACCCUUGAUCUUAGUUGCCAGCAUUCAGUUGGGCACUCUAAGGUGACUGCCGGUGACAAACCGGAGGAAGGUGGGGAUGACGUCAAAUCAUCAUGCCCCUUAUGACCUGGGCUACACACGUGCUACAAUGGACAGAACAAAGGGCAGCGAAACCGCGAGGUUAAGCCAAUCCCACAAAUCUGKUCUCAGUUCGGAUCGCAGUCUGCAACUCGACUGCGUGAAGCUGGAAUCGCUAGUAAUCGCGGAUCAGCAUKCCKCAGGGAAUACGUUCCCGGGCCUUGUACACACCGCCCKUYWCUAYKGACGRGAGUUUGKAACACCYCGGAAGUCCGSGSGGMGRGA
rnacentral:rRNA from 1 species